rnacentral:lncRNA from 1 species
AUCAUUCAAGUAGUCAUUCAUUUUUUAAAUUUUUCUUACUGAAGUAGAGUUGAUUUAAAGUGUUAAGUCAAUUUCUGUUGUACAGCAAAUAGACCCAGUCAUACAUAUAUGUACAUUCAUUUUUCUCAUAUUAUCUUCCAUCAUAUUCUAUCACAAGAGAUUGGAUAUAAUUCCCUGUGCUGUACAACAGGAUGUCAUUGCUUAUCCAUUCUAAAUGUAAUAGUCAUUGAUUUUUGAUCAACAAAUAUGUACUGAGGUUAUACCAGGUACAGUUUGUAGUACGAUGGACCAGACAUACAGGGGUGAAUCAUCUCCUGGAAACUGUUUUCCUUUAUUCAGAGUUGGUGAGGACUUUACCAUAUAGGUCAUCUUGGGCCUAUAGUGGUGUUUUUGUGAGUUUAAGACUUGGGAACAUGGGCUAAAUUUCAGCCAUUUUGAACUCUUAAAGAUUUAUUCUCACCUAAUACACCAUCUUCCCCAUUUAUACAGGGUAUCUCUGAGCAUGUUUAUACAGGGGUCCCUGAUUACUUCUGCUCCAGAAAAGAGGGAUCAUCAGGGAAUACAUAGCAUGGGGGCUGGCUUCCCAGGAUGGCUUCCAAUGAUCCUUACCUUAGUGUUCACACCUUACACACCCUUCUAACAACUAGAAUAUUGUUGGGAUGGGACUUCCAGGCUUAGGUUUUGAAAAGACUGGUUCCAUCUUGGGUGAUGUGUGUGUGUGUGAGUGUGUCCCAUUGCUUGCUCUUGGGGAAUUGAGCUAACAUGUCACGAGGCCACCCUUUGGGGAGGCUUACAGAACAAAAGACCAAGACCUGCUACCAGCCUCGUUAAUGACCUUGAAAGCAUGUGUUCCCCCUGCGCCUCCCCCCAAGAGGAGCACUCACAUAGGUCCACAACCCUGACCUGUAUGUUGACUGCAAUUUCAUGUGACUCUGAGCCACAGGCACUCAGCUAAUUUUUCUCUGAAUGCCUGACCCACAAAAACUUUGAGAUAAUAAUUUUUGUCUUGUUUUUAAGCCAUGAAGGGGUGCUAAUGUCUCACUGUCUUUCUUACCUCAAUAGUUUUUAUUUUUUAUUUGGACAUUGAUCCAAAAUAGGUAUUUCUAGAAGACCAUCUCUCCUGGGCAGCUUUCUUCUCAGUAGUGACAAAAGCACUCAGGCUCUUUCAAUGUUGUAGCAGUGUCUCCCUUUAGGUUCUAUGAGUUCUUUCCGUUGAAUCAGCAGAUGGGGAGAGAUCACAGAGAUAAAGCUUCAUUUGUGGGAAGUCAGGGAGGGGUAAGGCCUUUAUCUUUCCAUGGGAUGGGUAGGUCUGGGAAUGACCUACAUCACCUCUGUCCAUAUUCCAUGGGUCAGAACCUAGUAACUUGGCAACACUUAAUCGGAAGGAGGGCUGGGAAAUGGAAUCUAGCUGUAUGCCCAGAAGGAAAAAGGAAAUCCGUUGGUAAACAACUUGUCAGUCUCUACCACAUGAGGCAGAGAGUGACGGGGCCAGGAGGGAUGGGAGAGGGGGAGAGAGAGAAGGAUGGAAAAAUUCCAGGAGAGGAAACAGCUCUCUGGAACUGAAGUACUUUGGCAUAGCAGUGAUGGAAAAAGCCGGAGAGAGGCCACAUUCAGGUGAUAGGCCCUUCAUUUUCUCAUGAAGUGAGUAAGGAAGCAAAUUUGAAAAUCAGCAGGAAGCUAAUUAUGAAGAAAUUAAAUAUAUAUAUAUGUAUUUUAGAAAUGCAAUUAUGUCAAAUGACAAUUACACAGGUCAAAUUCUAACAAGAUAGCAAGAACAUCUAAAAGAGGAUUCGCAUAAGCUAUCUGAUUGCAUUUAAGUGAAAAACUAGUUUUUUAAGGUAACAGUGUAGCACUCUUCCAUGGGAGAGUGCUGAAAACAAAAGCUUUCAAUUCCAGCAACAGAAAUUUUCACUAACAAAUGAUUUGGCUAUCAACACAUUGCCCAUAUUGUAGCUUUGUAAAAAAUACGUAUUUUUAUUGGCCAAACUUUUAUUCUUUGUGCUCUGAUUUCAGUUUUCUUUGUAUUCACAUUUCAGCCUAAUAAAUUUUAACGUGCCAUCCAAUGGAGGAUAAAUCUGUUGUGAAACCUUAUAGAGAGUAGAAAGAUUUGCAUGAAAUAAAGGAGGAUUUAUGUUGCCUAUGAUAUUUCCUUUCUGAAGCUAAGGAUUCUCUUGUUUUCUUAGUUCUUCUGGUGGGAAAUGAAAGAAACUAAAUCCAGAACAUUCCUUGCUGACAUAAAGACAAAACUACCUCCAUAAAUUUAAUAAAGAAAUGAUCUUAUUCCCAUGGUUCAUUCUUAUUUGUAAAACCAUCAUGUUUAAAUUAUGUAGAUCACAGGUUGGAAGAGAAAAUAUUCCAUUAGUCUAUAUAAACCAUUAAGAAAUAUUUUUAAAUAAUUAAAGGAUAAUUUAAAUAAAUAUUUUCAGUAGAUCUAAAAUCUCUUCCAUAAUAACAAUAACAAGUGAUGAACCUAAGAUUUAGUGUUAUUUUGAAAGCUGCCCUUUAAAUCCAAGGAAGGGAGUUUAGGGUUUUAAUGGAAUCUGUUUUAUAUAAAAUCAGCAUUUGGGAAAAAGCCAGUAAAUCUUAUUUGAAUCUAAAAGAUGAAUAGAUAUUUCUCAAUGAAUGUGAAUUCUGCUGUUUUCAUUUUGAUUUGGAUAUUAAAACUUGGGAAGAAAAUAUUAGUUGAGAUAUUUUCUGGCCUACUUUAUCAUUUCAAAGGCUUUUUUUUUUUUUUUUUUUUUACCAUCAGCAUAAGAGUUCAUUGUUUAUGUUGAAAUGAUGGAAAAUACAUUCAUUUUGAAACAAUUAAGUUGAGGAAACAAAUUGGAAAUUUCACUACACCAAAUCUACCAGUACAUCCCCUUGUGGUGCAGUGGGAAGGCCACUUGACUUGCUGCUCUGUCUUGGUAACUCUUCUUGCCAGGCAUGUGAUUUGGGACCAGUUGUUGGUCAUCUCUGAUGGGCCUCUUCUAACCUUUGUGCUACUUUGUGUGGCUUUGGAUCAAUCUCCUCUCCAUGGAGCAUCCUUGAGCAAGGAGCCUUUUGCCCAGCUGCACUAGAUGGCCCUGUUCCGGCAGUAUCUGUCACACCCAUUCUCAGGACCCAAAGAUCCCUCCGUAAUUGACAAAGGGGCAUUCACAUAUGAAGUAUCGUCAUCUAGAUAAUGGGCUGUAAAGAAUUUUUGUCAAGGGAAAGAGAGAGAACAUUUUAGGCUUGGUAGGCCAUACAUCUCUCAUUGCAGCACAGGAGAAGAUACACCAGUGUGGUCACAUUCCAGUAAAACUCCACCAAUGCAUACUUAACCUUGGAAUUCAUAUAAUUAUUGUGUAUCAGUACAAUAUUGUUUUUCUCUUUAUUUUUUUCCAAACAUUUAAAAAUGUAAAAAUUGUUCUUAGCUCACAUGCCAUGUAAAAAUGGAUGGUGAACUAGAGUUGAACCAUAGGCUGUGGUUUGAUUCCUGGUCUAAAUCACUUUGCCAAUUUAUCAAAAAGAAUCUCAGAUCUUGCCACUCAGAGUGUGAUCCUGGGAGCUUGUUAGAAAUGCAAAAAUCUCUUGUGCUUCUACCCAGACUGGUAGAGUCAAACUCUGCAUUUUUAGCAGGAUUCCCUAAAUGAAUCUAGUGCUCCUUAAAUUAGAGAAGCUUUGAUGUGGAAUGCAGUAAGAAAUCAGCAAGAGCAGAGAAAACAGGCUUUCUGAAUAGGAAGUAUAUAUACAAAAGUACUCACUGAGAGUUGUGCAUUUAUUAAUACAAGGGCCCUUUAGGCUCUCUUGCAAAACCAAAUUUUAUAUAACUAUGAAUUUGUAAAUAUACAUAUUUAUAUAUAUAUACACACACAUUAUGUGUCUUAUGUGUGUGAAUACACACACACACAGUCUGAGGAUAUGGUUUACUAGUCCAUAGUAAAUUGCAAAUGGGGGACUUUGCUAUAAGUAGGGUCCAUCUGAUAAUGGUAACAAAAAAUAUCUAAAAGCCUGAAAAAAUUUUUUUAAAGAAAUCAAAUUAAAAUUCUAAAAGAUUAGGAGUUCGGACUCACUUUGUGUCAAGUCAGACAGUUGUGUGUGCACUCAGCGGUCCCCAAGGGCAUCCUCAUAUUACAGCAAAAUGCUGUAGCUGAUGUUCAUAGUGAUAACCCCAGGGCAGCAAGGAAAGGUUAAAUUAUGCUCCAUGUUCUCUGCUUAGGAAGAUUGGGACAUGUCCUUGCACUUUGAGAAGAUUUCCAUCAGAGGUAGUUAAAAUGAAAAGAAUGGUUGUGCUUAAAGAAGCUUACCUUCUAUUAUUUGAGAAAGUUUGUAUUUAGAAUGACAUUCUCCAUGGAUGCUAGAUAACCAUGGCUUUGUCUUUUUAAUUUUUUUAUUGUGUACAAUUUCCUCUACCAUUCUUGAAGACUGACCUCUCAAAUCUUUCAUUUCAUGUUCCCCAUUUGAGAAGGAACAAGAUCAGUUUUGUUUUAUUUUCCUUUUCAACUUUCAACUUCUUAAUAAGACCAGAAACCUACUCUUACAGGUUAGCAGGUGAUUGCGGAAGUUAGAAAAGAAGAUACUUUUAUUUCCUCUUUUCUAAUUCUUCUCUCUCCCGGCAAACAGAAUUCUGAUUCAUUGACUUACCAUUCAUUCCUCUCUCUCAUUUUUAAAAUUUUGCAUCUUCUUAUAUAUAUUUUUAAAUGUAUUAAAUAUUAUCCUAUAACCCCCUUCCAAACCUAGCAUCCAAAAUAACACAGAUAAUAGGUUAAAAAAAAAGAUACAUAGAUAUCUGAAUAAGUAGAAAUAAGAAAUAAAAUGAUUGUCAUACACGGUAGAUCCAAGCUAAAUAUUUCUGACCCUUGAAGGACCAUGAAGAUUAUUUAAUUCUUCUCUUAGUAUGAUAGAACCUAGGGUAGCUGCAAUCUGAAUGAAGACUGAUCAGGGAACUCCUUGUAAUAAUGACCUUUAGAUGUUUGUUUCACAUCCCUCUUUUUCCCUGUUGGAUGGUAAGGUGAAAGAGGACAGAAGGGUGUUAUAGAAAGUAGAAUCAGAAUAUAUAGAAAGACACCAGUAGGGAGAAAAGGAGAGAAUGCAUGUGAUAGGACCAAUUCUGCUUUCUUCUAUGAAAUUCUAAUUGAGAACUCAGGGCAUGGCAGACUGCAGAGGAUUCAAGUUCUUUGCGUGGUGGUCAGGCCUGUCAUUGAUAUGAUAUCCAGUUCUUAGGCAAUUCUUCCUGUAUGCUAUAUUUAAAAUUAAAUGGCAAAAUGAUCUGCAUUAAUGAGGGCCCAGAGCACUGUCAGUACACUAGUGGGAAAGUUAUACUUAUGGUAAUUCAGUUUCAAUAGGUUGGCCAUGUAAAGAGAAUGGCUGACAGCAGGUUAUCAAAGCAAUUUCCAAGUGGGCAACUGAGGAUGGGCCUUCUGACUGAAUAGGGACAAAAGAAAUGCUUCAAGGACGUGGUGAACAUACUUUGUAAUAAUGUAGGAAAGCCAGCAUUAGCUCAAAAGUCAAGCAGCAUGGAGCAGCUGGCAGAGAGCAAAUGAGGUCUGAGUAAUUUUC